rnacentral:rRNA from 1 species
UACAGAGGGUGCAAGCGUUAAUCGGAAUUACUGGGCGUAAAGCGUGCGUAGACGGUUAUGUAAGUCGGGUGUGAAAGCCCCGGGCUCAACCUGGGAAUGCCAUUCGAGACUGCAUAGCUAGGGUGCGGAAGAGGGAAGCGGAAUUUCCGGUGUAGCGGUGAAAUGCGUAGAUAUCGGAAGGAACACCAGUGGCGAAAGCGGCUUCCUGGUCCAGCACCGACGUCAGGCACGAAAGCGCGGGAGCAAACAGG